rfam:Legionella longbeachae NSW150, complete genome
AUUGUACAUUAGGGGUGCCUGUUUCACUAUUUUGGCUGAGAGGAUCCACCAACCCUUUGAACCUGAUCUCAUUAGUCUGAGCGGAGGAAAAUGUGUCUAUUGUUAU